CGAACGCUGGCGGCGUGCUUAACACAUGCAAGUCGAACGAGGACUAGAGAGCUUGCUCUCUAUAGCCGAGUGGCGAACGGGUGAGUAACACGUGACCAACCUGUCUUUAGGUGAGGGACAACCUGGGGAAACCCGGGCUAAUACCGCAUAACGUCUUUCCUUCACAUGAGAGAGAGACCAAAGGGGGCCUCUGCUUGCAAGCUCUCGCCUAAUGAGGGGGUCGCGUCGUAUCAGCUUGUUGGUGAGGUAAUGGCUCACCAAGGCUAUGACGCGUAGCGGGUCUGAGAGGACGAUCCGUCACAUUGGGACUGAGAUACGGCCCAGACUCCUACGGGAGGCAGCAGUGGGGAAUAUUGCGCAAUGGUCGAAAGACUGACGCAGCGACGCCGCGUGUGGGAGGAAGCCUUUCGGGGUGUAAACCACUGUCAGGGGGGAAGAAUGGCGAGUAUCCGAAUAGGGUGCUCGAUUGACGGUACCUCCAAAGGAAGCGCCGGCUAACUCC
rnacentral:rRNA from 1 species